GACGAACGCUGGCGGCGCGCCUAACACAUGCAAGUCGAACGAGCGAGAGGAGGUUUACUUUCUCAAGCGAGUGGCGAACGGGUGAGUAACGCGUGAGGAACCUGCCUCAAAGAGGGGGACAACAGUUGGAAACGACUGCUAAUACCGCAUAAGCCCACGGCUCGGCAUCGAGCAGAGGGAAAAGGAGCAAUCCGCUUUGAGAUGGCCUCGCGUCCGAUUAGCUAGUUGGUGAGGUAAUGGCCCACCAAGGCGACGAUCGGUAGCCGGACUGAGAGGUUGAACGGCCACAUUGGGACUGAGACACGGCCCAGACUCCUACGGGAGGCAGCAGUGGGGAAUAUUGCACAAUGGGGGAAACCCUGAUGCAGCGACGCCGCGUGGAGGAAGAAGGUCUUCGGAUUGUAAACUCCUGUUGUUGAGGAAGAUAAUGACGGUACUCAACAAGGAAGUGACGGCUAACUACGUGCCAGCAGCCGCGGUAAAACGUAGGUCACAAGCGUUGUCCGGAAUUACUGGGUGUAAAGGGAGCGCAGGCGGGAAGACAAGUUGGAAGUGAAAUCCAUGGGCUCAACCCAUGAACUGCUUUCAAAACUGUUUUUCUUGAGUAGUGCAGAGGUAGGCGGAAUUCCCGGUGUAGCGGUGGAAUGCGUAGAUAUCGGGAGGAACACCAGUGGCGAAGGCGGCCUACUGGGCACCAACUGACGCUGAGGCUCGAAAGUGUGGGUAGCAAACAGGAUUAGAUACCCUGGUAGUCCACACUGUAAACGAUGAUUACUAGGUGUUGGAGGAUUGACCCCUUCAGUGCCGCAGUUAACACAAUAAGUAAUCCACCUGGGGAGUACGACCGCAAGGUUGAAACUCAAAGGAAUUGACGGGGGCCCGCACAAGCAGUGGAGUAUGUGGUUUAAUUCGACGCAACGCGAAGAACCUUACCAAGUCUUGACAUCCUGCGACGCACAUAGAAAUAUGUGUUUCCUUCGGGACGCAGAGACAGGUGGUGCAUGGUUGUCGUCAGCUCGUGUCGUGAGAUGUUGGGUUAAGUCCCGCAACGAGCGCAACCCUUAUGGUCAGUUACUACGCAAGAGGACUCUGGCCAGACUGCCGUUGACAAAACGGAGGAAGGUGGGGAUGACGUCAAAUCAUCAUGCCCUUUAUGACUUGGGCUACACACGUACUACAAUGGCGUUAAACAAAGAGAAGCAAGACCGCGAGGUGGAGCAAAACUCAGAAACAACGUCCCAGUUCGGACUGCAGGCUGCAACUCGCCUGCACGAAGUCGGAAUUGCUAGUAAUCGCAGAUCAGCAUGCUGCGGUGAAUACGUUCCCGGGCCU
rnacentral:rRNA from 1 species